UUUGCCCGCCAGAGAGAGAGAGAGAGAGAGAGAGAGAGAGAGAGAGCGCGCGCGAGAGGCAUGAUUCGGGAGGCGGUACGGUGCCGGCUCAGCUGGGGCCAGGACUAGUCCGUACGUGGCUCGCAGCCGGACGGGCCGGUUGGAAUAUACUACACCGAGAAUUUGGUGCAGCGGCACACUCGACAAGAAUCCGUUAGUAGUAAUAUUUUUUCUAAAAUAAUAAAUCAGUAAAUAUUAUUUUUAAUUAUAUUUUUUCAUUUCAAACAAGGGAACGGACUCGACGCGCAGCGAAUUAAACCCGUACUCAGCUCGACUCGACGGGAUCGAUCACUCGCGCGCGCGCGGAUCCGACCGUAUCCAGUCUUGUCACGUCAAGAUCCAUCGCCCUGUUGUGGAAUUUCGAUGCGCCUCUCCCGCGGGGAUCCGAUAUUCAGCUGCCACUGCCACCUCUCUCGAUCGAUGACUCGGGCCGCCCGCCCGCGUGCAUCGGCGAUUUCAGCUGGCAAACGGGAACCGGCGGAAAACGACCGACCUUGCGCGCGCGCCGCAGCAAACGAACGCGACGACCAUCAGCUCACUGGGUUGGCGAUUUUUUUUUUCCGUGGACGAACCACCAGCACGUACGGCCGGGACUUCUUUUUUGUUGUUUUUGUGGUAAGAAAAGCACGGGCAUUAGCUUGGAAGGACGUCAUUUUUUUAGCGAUCGAGCUGCUCUGAUCCGGAAACGGGAGUCGCGGGUGUGAACGGCAGAAAAAGCAAAGCGCGGGGGGGCCUGGUGGUGGCCUCGCUCGCGAGGGGACGCGCCAGCUAGCGGCGCUGUCGCCAGUACGACGUCGCCGUCGCCGUCGCCCCAGCGGCCCGCGCCGUGUCGCGCUCGGCGGAGCCGUCGUCGCCCGGUGGUGGGGGCGGGGUGGUGGUGUGAACCGCGCAUUCAAUGCCCGUGGAAUUUCCUGCGCGCGCGUGACGACGUGGCCCGUGGCCGGCGUCACGUCCUCGCACUGCUGUGCGUGUCUGCAGGGCUGCAGGCGGAGGCGGAGGCGGAGGCGCGGCGGCGCAUGCAUGCACGCCCGUCAUCCGGACCGGACGUCAAGUGCUCAUUUACUCACGGGAAGAUCGACAUGGACGAAAAUGGUGGGGGUGCACGCUGCUGGCGUGCCACAGCCACUGCUCGUUGGGUCAUCAACUCGUGAUUCUUGUCCGUGUUUCGAAAUUCGAAUAGAGUAAGUACUAAUACUGCUUGAUGUCUUGAUGUAAAUCACAGACUCAGAACCCAAA
rnacentral:lncRNA from 1 species